CGUAGGUGAACCUGCGGAAGGAUCAUUAAUAGUGCCCUCUGAUGCAAAUCAUUGGGUUAGAUCUGCUCUCUUCGCAAGAAGAGGGUUUCCAUACACACCGUGAACUGUGGCUUCGGCCAUCACAAACUGUUAGUAAUGAAUGUAAUAUCAUAACAAAAACAAAACUUUUAACAACGGAUCUCUUGGCUCUCGCAUCGAUGAAGAACGCAGCGAAAUGCGAUAAGUAAUGUGAAUUGCAGAAUUCAGUGAAUCAUCGAAUCUUUGAACGCACCUUGCGCCCUUUGGUAUUCCGAAGGGCAUGCCUGUUUGAGUGUCAUGAAACCUCACCCCACUUGGGUUUUUGCCUGAGCGGUGGUGUAUUGGGUGUUGCCUUGCUAAAGGCUCGCCUUAAAGACAUAAGCACCUUGGAUGUAAUACGUUUCAUCCUUCUGGGUGGCUGAUAACCCCACAUAUUCAUGAUCUGGCCUCAAAUCAGGUAGGGCUACCCGCUGAACUUAAGCAUAUCAAUAAGCCGG
rnacentral:rRNA from 2 species